rnacentral:rRNA from 1 species
GGGCCCGCACAAGCGGUGGAGCAUGUGGUUUAAUUCGAUGAUACGCGAGGAACCUUACCAGGGUUUAAAUGCAGAACGACAGGGGUGGAAACACCCCCUUCUUCGGACGGACUGCAAGGUGCUGCAUGGUUGUCGUCAGCCCGUGCUGUGAAGUGUCGGGUUAAGUCCCAUAACGAGCGCAACCCCCCAUUUCUAGUUGCCAGCGGUUCGGCCGGGGACUCUAGAGAAACUGCCAGCGUAAGCUGUGAGGAAGGUGGGGAUGACGUCAAAUCAUCACGGCCCUUACAUCCUGGGCCACACACGUGCUACAAUGGUAGGGACAACAGGUUGCCAACCCGCGAGGGUGAGCCAAUCCCAAAACCCUAUCUCAGUUCGGAUCGGAGUCUGCAACUCGACUCCGUGAAGUUGGAAUCACUAGUAAUCG